GGGGACAACCCGCCGAAAGGCGGGCUAAACCCGCGUACAUGCCACCGGGGCAUCCCGGAGGCAGGAAAGGCUUCGGCCGGACAGGGAUGGGCAUGCGGCGCAUUAGGCAGUAGGCGGGGUAACGGCCCACCUAACCGACGAUGCGUAGGGGUUCUGAGAGGAAGGUCCCCCACACUGGUACUGAGACACGGACCAGACUCCUACGGGAGGCAGCAGUGAGGAAUAUCGGUCAAUGGUCGGGAGACUGAACCAGCCAAGCCGCGUGAGGGAUGAAGGUACAGAGUAUCGUAAACCUCUUUUGUCAGGGAACAAAGGCGGGGACGUGUCCCCGGAUGAGUGUACCUGAAGAAAAAGCAUCGGCUAACUCCGUGCCAGCAGCCGCGGUAAUACGGAGGAUGCGAGCGUUAUCCGGAUUUAUUGGGUUUAAAGGGUGCGCAGGCGGUCUGUUAAGUCAGCGGUCAAAGCCCGGGGCUCAACCCCGGCCCGCCGUUGAAACUGGCAGUCUCGAGUUGGAGAGAAGUAUGCGGAAUGCGCGGUGUAGCGGUGAAAUGCAUAGAUAUCGCGCAGAACUCCGAUUGCGAAGGCAGCAUGCCGGCUCCACACUGACGCUGAGGCACGAAAGCGUGGGUAUCGAACAGGAUUAGAUACCCUGGUAGUCCACGCAGUAAACGAUGAA
rnacentral:rRNA from 1 species